UACUUUACUCCGUAAGUCAACGUUUCAGCUCCUCUUGGGAGCUUUCAUCAUGCUGUCCUGAUGAAAGCUCCCAAGAGGAGCUGAAACGUUGACUUACGGAGUAAAG